rnacentral:lncRNA from 1 species
GUGUGUCGCAACGUGGAGGCGUCGCUGCGCUUCUACACCGACGUGCUCGGAUUCGUCCCCAUCCGCCGCCCCGGCUCCUUCGACUUCGACGGCGCCUGGUAUGUACGUUGAGUAAUCUGUACUGUAAUACACCUUCAAUUAAUUAAUAAUCUUGCAACGCAGAGUACAGUAUUAGUAUAUAUACGCACGGUCUAUGCUUAUGGAUUUGUAUAUAUAAUUUGAUGUCAUCAGGCUGUUCAACUACGGGAUCGGCAUCCACCUGCUGCAGUCGGAGGACCCCGGCAGCCUCCCGGAGAAGGGCGAGAUCAACCCCAAGGACAACCAUAUCUCCUUCCAGGUCACUACUCACUAGCUACUCUCUCUCUCUCUCUCUCUCUCUCUCUCUCUCUCUCUCACACACACACACACACACACACACACACAAAACUCACUAUCCUAAUAAUAAUCGAUCAAAAAGAUCACAAACAUCAACCAAUUAGUUAUAUGAUUAAUAAGUUGCUCUGAAGCUGACAAGUUUCUAAUCUUAUUAACUAUAGUAGUACUUACAUGGGAUGGGAGUGACAAGCAGCUGCUUGCAACUUGCAAAGGAACUAGCUAGGUAGCCAUUCCUGCUUGCAUGCACAUGGGCGGGCCAAGCUAGGGUUGCUUUCACCCUAGCCAGAAGCUAGCUAAGCCACGUCGGUGUCCCCAUCCCAUCCAUAUCUCUGUCGUCGUCACGGACGGAGUCGCCCGAUGAGAUGCACGCGGUGCACGCUAAGCUUCGCACUAGGACACCGUGCGUUCGCGGGUAUAAUUAAAUGAAUCGCUCCUGCUAAUUUUAAGUCAGCGGCUAAUUUUAAAUUAGCGAGCAGUAUUUUCUGUCAUGAGUUUUCAGCCAAAGGCUUUGCCCGCCUGUUCCGCCAACUUGAUUAUAUAUAGUCUGUCGUCGUUCCCACGGAUCAUUAAUACCGUCGCGUGAAGGAAAGCAAGGCUAAUUUGUUACUGCAUAUAUAUGUGUUUUCCAAACGCACCUAGAGCAUACGGUACGCAACAAGUGACAUUAUAUUGGCGAUCGAGGGAUCGAGAGCUAAGAGAUGGUAUGGAUACUGUGUUUAGAUAGGUAUGAGUAGUGAAGAAGCGUGUACUACGUCUUUC